AUCAGAGGGAGACCGUGGAGGGAGAGGGAGGGGGAGGGGGAGGGGGAGGGGGAGAGGGAGAGGGAGAGGGAGUAUACCAUAAAUUUUUAAAUUCCCCAUAACUCUUCCUUAUUCCACUUAACCACUUUAUCUUAAAUUACUCAUGUUUGCUUCAGUAGCACAUAUACUAAAGUUGGAACGAUAGAUUGGCAUGGCCUCUGUGCAAGAAUGACAUGCAAAUUUGUGAAUCAUUCCAUAUGUUUUUAAAAAGAAAAAAAUUACAUCCGGAUUUUCACUGUGUACAUAUGACCUUUUGUUUAGGUUGAAUUAUAUCCAAAGAUGGUAUUUCCAGAAGUGAGAUUACUGUGAGUCACAGGGCAUGAGCAUUCUUAUUACACUUGAUGUAAAUUGUCAAGUUUUCAGGCAUGGUGGCUGUCUGCUUAUAAUUCCAGCACUUUCAGAGGCUGAGGUGGGAGGACUGCUUGAGCCCAGUAAGUUGUGGCUGCAGUGAGCCAUAACUGCACCACUGCACCGCUGCACUCCAGUCUGGGCAAGAGAGUGAGAUAGAAGGUUGACUUUUUAAUAGAAUUUUUCUGUUCACUUAAAGAUAUGGCCAGGACUGUGCUAUAUGAAAAUUUUCAUAAAAUAAUUAUCUCAUCCAAUUAAUGUUGGAAUUGGGAACAGAAAAUGUUUUGGUGACUAUUUAUUCCUUCACUUGCUGUUAUAGAAACUAUUGCCAGUGGGCACUUAACAACGAAGUGUCAUCUCUGAGCUACUCACAAUGAAAGGUGAUGUCUGGGGCCCAGGUGUGUUGAGGUCCCCAUGUCUGGGCUAUGGGUGCUGAGUGGGACUUACUUGUCCAUC
rnacentral:lncRNA from 1 species